rnacentral:rRNA from 1 species
UACGGAGGAUGCAAGCGUUAUCCGGAUUUAUUGGGUUUAAAGGGUGCGUAGGUUGUUUGAUAAGUCAGUGGUGAAAGUCUGUCGCUUAACGGUAGGAUUGCCAUUGAUACUGUUGGACUUGAAUAUGGAUGAGGUAGGCGGAAUGUGUAGUGUAGCGGUGAAAUGCAUAGAUAUUACACAGAACACCGAUUGCGAAGGCAGCUUACUAAUCCAUCAUUGACGCUGAGGCACGAAAGCGUGGGGAGUCAAACAGGAUUA